rnacentral:rRNA from 1 species
UACGGGGGGGGCAAGCGUUGUUCGGAAUUACUGGGCGUAAAGGGCUCGUAGGUGGCCAACUAAGUCAGACGUGAAAUCCCCAGGCUCAACUUGGGAACUGCGUCUGAUACUGGAUGGCUUGAAUUCGGGAGAGGGAUGCAGAAUUCCAGGUGUAACGGUGAAAUGCGUAGAUAUCUGGAGGAAUACCGGUGGCGAAGGCGGCAUCCUGGACCGAUAUUGACACUGAUGAGCGAAAGCUAGGGGAGCAAACGGG